rnacentral:rRNA from 1 species
CUACGGGGGGCAGCAGGGAGGAAUAUUGCGCAAUGGGGGAAACCCUGACGCAGCGACGCCGCGUGGAUGAUGAAGGCCUUAGGGUCGUAAAAUCCUGUCAGGUGGGAAGAAGUGGAUAUAGAUUAAUACUCUAUUUCUUUGACGGUACCACCAAAGGAAGCACCGGCUAACUCCGUGCCAGCAGCCGCGGUAAUACGGAGGGUGCAAACGUUGUUCGGAAUUACUGGGCGUAAAGCGCGCGUAGGCGGUUUGUUAAGUCAGAUGUGAAAGUCCAUGGCUCAACUAGGGAAGUGCAUUUGAAACUGGCAGACUUGAGUACUGGAGGGGGUGAUGGAAUUCCCGGUGUAGAGGUGAAAUUCGUAGAUAUCGGGAGGAAUACCGGUGGCGAAGGCGAUCACCUGGCCAGAUACUGACGCUGAGGUGCGAAAGCGUGGGGAGCAAACAGGAUUAGAUCCCCGCGUAGUC